GGUUAGCUGUUUUCACUCUUUAUGCUAAGCUAAGCUAACCAGCUGCUGGCGGUAGCUUUGUAUUUACUAUACUAAUCAGAGUGGUGUCAGGUGUUAGUGGGAUCUUCUCAUCUAACUCUCAUCAAGAACGCAAAUAAGCGACCUGUCAAACUUUUUGUUUAAAGGAGAAUUUGAUCUGCAACAGCCCUGUGAUCAAGCCUUCAGGCCGUUUGAUCACAAGCUCUCACACCAAGGUGCUGACCAUCAGCUGACGAUAAAAGGCGGAGGCAAGCAAAACUGUUGACAUAGCGCCUGGUAGGCUUCUUCUCAGCUCAAAGGGCUUACCUUAUUAACAUCACAGGAGCCGUGGAGCAGGGAAUGGAGAACCAGGACAUGAAUAAUAGCUAUUGAACUCAGCUGAAGUGAUUUUACUUGGAGCGGUCAGCCUUUAUUUUAGGGUGCAUUCAUGGACAGUGGAUGGACUGGGAAUUCAAAGCAAGUCCACCUGAUUUAUGAGCCUCUGGGCUCUUUCAGCUCCCCUGGCACUUGCCGAGAGGAGUCAACAAACUCUGAGCUGUGGUGAAGGUCUCUCUAUCUGAAGGCAAUCAAGCACCAUGAAUAACAGCGCUCCAAUCAGACAGUUGUUUUGGACAGUGACCUUCAGGAAAUUGUAUCAUCUCGUAUAACACCUCAUAUAAUCAUGAAUGACUCGCACGCUCCCAUGAUCCAGGCUUUAUUGAUCAUUGCAUACCACUGACAAACUGGAAUGUUUCAUUCAUUGUUUGAAGAUGGCUGCUGCAGCUUCUGUUUUUUAAUGCACAAACUGUAUUUCAGGUACCAGAAACAUAGUGUGACGGGUGUACUGUUGUUGUAGUGAAGUUGAGACAGUGAUUGCAUCAUUUGAUAUUUAAUGAACAGCUCAUUGGUUUCAUUCAUGAUACAAUAAUGGUGAGUGAGGCUUCACUUUAAUCAAAGAGUCUUUGGUUUAUACCAUUUAUCUGAAGAUCUGGGAGAACCAGAGCUGUUCUCCAGCCAGCUUCCUAUUUCAUUUCUGCUGCCAGGUCGACUAAUAAGACAGUUUGCUUGGAAUAAACACUAAAGAAUAUAGCAAAUCCACAUUAUACAACCUUUUUAGAAACAAAAACACACUUUUAAAUUAAUCUGUGAAAAUAAGUUUUAAUUGAGAAUUGAUAACGAAUAUUUUGGACAAGAUAAAUUAAACUCCUGGGUUACUCUUAAAGCCAGACAAUGCAAUCUUAGUUCAGUUCUCAACAUGGGCUAAUUAAAUUUUUAAUUGUAGCUUAAAUAUGAAGCCAGGUUCAGUAGCCCGUUAGUUUAGCUUAGCAAUGUUAGCUAGGAACAGGGAACAGCUGCCUUGGCUCUGCCCAGAGGGUUUUAUUUAUUUAUUUUUUAAAGCUCCUCUAAAGCUCAGAAUCUUGUUUAUCUAAUCUUUAAAAAUUGAGGUGAAAUAACACACAGGGUUCACUUCCUGUGUUAAUCUGUGAGCUUUAGGAUUGCUAGUGGGCGGAUUACAUUGAGUACACGUAGUCAGCAAGCUAAGCUAACUGGCUAAAUGAUAAAUGUAGAGACAAAGCACGAUUAAUAAUUCAGCUCAACAUUUAUUUUGUGGGAAGAUCACUUCUUUUCUGUCACGACUGUUAGCACCAACAGACUAAAGAAUGGAGAAGUGUGUUACAGGUAAUUAGCCAGGAGUGGGAACGGGAAGAAUGGGGAAAACUGCAAUUAUGGCUGUAUUUUUCUAAGCUCUGCUGAACCACUGUGUUAAAGUUAUAAAGUUAAUAUAUCUGCAAAUGGCUUUGCUAGUUUUCUAAUAGCUAAAAAAACUAAAGAUAAAAAUAAUCCUCUGGGGUUUUUUUAAAUCUGGGGUUUUGAGAUAGCAGCAGGAAUUUUGUUAACAUUUCAAGUACAACUUGUGGUGGUGAUUGUUUUCCCAUGCUAAUGGAGUAGUUUUUAGAAGAGCUCACGAUCUCUGUGAAACAGCUCUUUAAUUUUAGUUACAUAGAAUAAAAUAUUUAACUUUGUGCCAUUAUUUUCCAUGUUGACAGGUGCAGGUCUGACUCAAAGAUAUUUUUUUUCAAUGACCCUAAUCCUUCACUGUAUGUCAUACCCAUUUUAGUCUUAUCUGCUGAAGCCAGUGAAGUUGUAUCUGGAUAAAUCUGCAGGUGUAAGUUAUUAUCAGAAAAAAUAUAUUAAAAUAUACUCAGGCAGACAUGUUGGCUUACAA